GAGGAAAGGAGAGGGAGGAGGGCUGGAGAGAAGAGAGAGAGGAAAGGAGAGGGAGGAGGGCUGGAGAGAGUAAAGGAGAGGGAGGAGGGCUGGAGAGAAGAGAGAGAGGAAAGGAGAGGGAGGAGGGCUGGAGAGAGUAAAGGAGAGGGAGGAGGGCUGGAGAGAAGAGAGAGAGGAAAGGAGAGGGAGGAGGGCUGGAGAGAAGAGAGAGGAGAGGAGAGGUAGGAGGGCUGGAGAGAAGAGGGAGGAGAGGAGAGGGAGGAGGGCUGGAGAGAAGAGAGAGAGGAAAGGAGAGGGAGGAGGGCUGGAGAGAGUAAAGGAGAGGGAGGAGGGCUGGAGAGAAGAGAGAGAGGAAAGGAGAGGGAGGAGGGCUGGAGAGAAGAGAGAGAGGAGAGGAGAGGGAGGAGGGCUGGAGAGAAGAGAGAGAGUGGAAAGGAGAGGGAGGAGGGCUGGAGAGAAGAGAGAGGAGAGGAGAGGGAGGAGGGCUGGAGAGAAGAGAGAGAGAGGAAAGGAGAGGGAGGAGGGCUGGAGAGAAGAGAGAGGAGAGGAGAGGGAGGAGGGCUGGAGAGAAGAGAGAG
ensembl:lncRNA